rnacentral:rRNA from 1 species
UACGUAGGUCCCGAGCGUUGUCCGGAUUUAUUGGGCGUAAAGCGAGCGCAGGUGGUUUAUUAAGUCUGGUGUAAAAGGCAGUGGCUCAACCAUUGUAUGCAUUGGAAACUGGUAGACUUGAGUGCAGGAGAGGAGAGUGGAAUUCCAUGUGUAGCGGUGAAAUGCGUAGAUAUAUGGAGGAACACCGGUGGCGAAGGCGGCCUGCUGGACCGCGACUGACGUUGAGGCUCGAAAGCGUGGGGAGCGAACAGG